UGUUAAUAAUUUAUAUAUAAUAUUUUAUUAAUAUUUAUAUAGUAUUAACAUAAUUCAUAUUACUAUAUUUUAUAGUAUAUGAAAUUUUACUUUGAGAAAAUUAGAGUGCUUAAAGCAGGCAUUAGCCUUGAAUACUCCAGCAUGGAAUAAUAUAAAAGAUUUUUAUCUUUUUUAUUGGUUCUAAGAUAAAAACAAUGAUUAAUAGGGACAGUUGGGGGCAUCUGUAUUUAACAGUCAGAGGUGAAAUUCUUAGAUUUGUUAAAGACAAACUAGUGCGAAAGCAUUUGCCAAGGAUGUUUUCAUUAAUCAAGAACGAAAGUUAGGGGAUCGAAGACGAUCAGAUACCGUCGUAGUCUUAACCAUAAACUGUGCCAACUAGAGAUUGGAGGUUGUU
rnacentral:rRNA from 1 species